rnacentral:lncRNA from 1 species
CUAAAGAUGAGCUAGCCACUCAGGAUCAGCAAGAUGGAUAAAAAUGAUAAGAAGUCCUGAGUGUGUUCUCGUUUCCCUGAUCUAAUGCCCAUAACAAGAAAAAUUUCAGUCAAGAUUAGGUUCAAGUAAGGUGGAGUUAAGUCUACCCAGUGUAACCUGAUCGGCUGAGAACUUCUGGAGAAUCAAGUGAGAUAUGUCAGUGUGUUCCAGGUCCACAUGUGUGUCUUUCGCCACUGCUAAGGUCACUGAAUAAGAUAACUAAAGCACGAGGUGGUCAUUGAUCAACACAGAAUAAGGUCCUAAUUCCCACAAAGUUUUGACUGACUCAGUAAAAACUGACUCAAAUUGACCCAAAAGAAAAACAAAAGUAAGAAACGAGUUAGUAAACAACGAAAACCCUCCUC